UACGAAGGGUGCAAGCGUUACUCGGAAUUACUGGGCGUAAAGCGUGCGUAGGUGGUUUGUUAAGUCUGAUGUGAAAGCCCCGGGCUCAACCUGGGAAUGGCCAUGGAAACUGGCGGGCUGGAGUGUGGCAGAGGGGGGUGGAAUUCCACGUGUAGCAGUGAAAUGCGUAGAGAUGUGGAGGAACACCGAUGGCGAAGGCAGCCCCCUGGGCCAACACUGACGCUCAGGCACGAAAGCGUGGGGAGCAAACAGG
rnacentral:rRNA from 1 species